UACCUGGUUGAUCCUGCCAGUARUCAUAUGCUGGUCUCAAAGAUUAAGCCAUGCAUGUGUAAUUAUGAAUUAAUCCAAACUGUGAAA
rnacentral:rRNA from 1 species